CUUAGCGGCCGCCAUAUUUAACCAGGAAUUCAAGCUUACAGUUCCGGGCUCGGAUUCGAGGCUCAAGUUCCAGGAAGGCCCCUCCUUGGCAGUGGUUAUGGAGCAGCGUGGCAGAUGACCCAGUCACUACCAGCAAAGUGAAGUAUCUGCCCUCACACAGCACAAAUGUCACUCAGCAGAUGCUCCUUAAGAGGAGAGGUUCAUCUGCCAAACUUCAGAGCCUUUCACCUGCCUGGAGAAUAUUUCCCACCACGCUGACACCAGAAGUUUCUGAUCACAUCAAUGGGGUGUGACAACAGAGAUGAUAAGGGAAAUGCUCUCAUCCUCUAGCCAAGCCCUUCGACCUGCCUGGUGCAUCUUGUGAACUGUAUCAUAUUUUGGGGAGAGUCAGGGAUGCAGAAUUACCUUCUCAGUCCCUGCAGGCAAUCAGCUUGCUCCCCGAACCAUGAGAUAUGAUUGCCCUUAUUACUUUGGCUUGCAUAGCAGUGAGCCUUGUUAAUGGUCAUAAAAUUAUCCAGUCCUUAUUUAAAUCCUACGGCCGUCUGUGUUUCAAUGACCUCCCGAUGGUCUCUGGCUUUGCUCCAGGCUGAAGAAGCAUUAAAAGGACCAGGAAGGAAAGAGAGACAGUGGGAGAAUUAAGGAAAAAAAAAAAACAGAAUCACAACAAGCAACAGUCAACAAAGAGAAUUCAAAGUGAAACAGGGAAUAUUAAAGAGAGCUCAAUCAAUCAGCUGGAGAGUUCAAAAAAACAUAACUUGUCAUGAAGAGAAGGAAGCAGCAUCAGGUAAAAUUAGCAACACUAAUAAACUCAUCAGCACUGGAGCCUGGGCCAGGAAACAGCACAGGGAAGAUGAAGGGGUUGGUAGAGCUUGAUCCCAUGUUGGGGAAGUGGAAGAAGACUGACACAGCCCAAGGGAAUGUGCUUUGGUGAAGAAAUGUGGUUUGGGUGGAGACCAAAGACAUGGACUGCUUCUGAGACCUCCAGCAGCAAGAAGCUGCCUUUGUGCUCCUCAAAUUACAUGGCAGCAUUUUCCUUAAAGUGUAUUUUUCUUCUGUUUUGCUCCUUGUACUUGCUCUGAGGGAAAACACGCACAGAAGGAAGGCUGGAGACCCAGACACUGUGGGUGGAACAGGAAGGGCUGCUGGGAUGGCCUGUCCAGGGCUGGGCUUUGGCCAGUGAUCUUUCUGGAGCAAAAAUCUCCUCUUUGUUUUGGAUAAAAGAUCGUUCCCCUGUCCUUUCAAAUAACAUCUGAAAACCCCCAGAGUACUAAAAGAUUUUACAAUAAUAAUCCCCCCAAAGAGAAACAAGAACUGGAAAACCUCCAGGCAGCCAAGAACUGUUUUAAUGUAACCAAGCUCCAACACAGAUUUCCAUCAAUUUUGCAGCAAACCUGAGUCAUGAAAUUAAAAGUAGCAUCAGCAUA